GGUGUUCGAAAGAUUGAAAAAUAUAGAUAUAAAUCCUGAUUGAUAAAUCCUUAAAGAUAUAAGAUACAUCUUACAAAUAACUUUAGUAAGGACAAAAUAUUAUUUUUGAUAAAAGAGGCCAUUGUGGAAAAAGGAAACAAUUUUCCAGCCUUUCUAAAAAUUACCCCGAAUCAACGGGACAAAAAAGAAAUGGCCAUUUUGCAACUUCUCCCAAGAAAAAAAGGCACAACUAAAAAGGAAGACACGUUUUAACAACAUAUUUACGACAUUUGUUCUGAUUUUGGGUACUGAGUUGCAUUUUUCUACAGCGUCAUAGGAAUUACUCCAAUGCGCAAAUUAACCACAGGAN
rnacentral:lncRNA from 1 species